GUGCUGGGUUCCCAAGCACAUAUGCUAAAAUUGGAAUGAUACAGAGAAGAUUAGCAUGGCCUAUUUGCUAGAAUGACACAAAAAUUCGUGAAGCCGCCAGAUUAAAA